rnacentral:rRNA from 1 species
CCCUUAGAUGUCCGGGGCUGCACGCGCGCUACACUGAAGGAAUCAGCGUGCUAAAACCAUUGUCGAAAGGCAUUGGUAAACCCAUUAAAAUCCUACGUGAUUGGGAUCGGGAAUUGCAAUUAUUUCCCUUGAACGAGGAAUUCCCAGUAAGUGUGGGUCAUAAGCUCGCGUUGAUUACGUCCCUGCCCUUUGUACACACCGCCCGUCGCUGCCCGGGACUGAGCCGUUUCGAGAAAAGCGGGGACUGUUGCUGUCGGGGCUUUCGGGCCUUGGCUUCGGUGGAAACCGCUUUAAUCGCAGUGGCUUGAACCGGGCAAAAGUCGUAACA